rnacentral:misc_RNA from 1 species
AGAAUGAAUAAUGGAAACUGCAAUCAGCAAAUUUACCUGCAAUUAUACUAAUGUGGCUUAAUUCCCCGCAGGUUGUACCAUUUUUCCCCAGAAUUGGAUUGGAAAUGGCUUAUAUAUCACACUGAAACUGCAGCCUCCAUAUCCAGAAAAUCACCAGCAAUAUUCAGCAGCAAGAAAAUAACAACAAAGAAUCAAAGAUGCCAACUUAUUCCAUCAUUUUGGGUUUCCUCUUGAGUGAUCCCAGGAAAGACCAAAUUCUUGAGUUGAAAGAUGAACACAUGCCCAUAUAUUAGUAGUUUUCUUGCUAUUUUGACUUUUUUUUUUUCCUGCACCACAGCAGAUUAAUUUCUUUCUUUGCCUUCUUGAUAUCUCCCAUUCAUCUUUCAUGAGAAUUAUGGGAUCACAAAAAUAGAACUCACAAUCAUGGUUAACAACGAAAGAAUCCUCUUUACAAAGACUACAUAAACUCAACCCAAAUAUACUACUACCAAAAUCCUAAUAAUCUUUUUCACAGUUUUCUUCCUCAUAAAAUUUCAGGUCUUCUACUUUCUUCAAAACAUUCUUAAUAAUAAGAACAUCCUUUUUGCUUCCAGAAAUUUUGAUAAAUCUGUGGCCAAUAAAAAUACCUUCAGUGCUAAAGACUUCAACAUUCUGAGCAGCAUUGUUGAUAAUCCCAGACUCAAUCAAAGAUACCAAAUUGCUUGAAGGGUCACACAGAACCAUAUUGCUUGAAUUUACAUGAUCAGCUUUUGAAUUGUUCCUAAGCUCCAAAUCUUGCUCCAAUUCUUAAACUAUUAUUAGAUCAUUCUCAAAAUUCUGACGUUCUUUCAUACAUUUAUCUCCACCUCCAUGAACCUUAUCAUCAAGAGAGACAAUCUCCUUCCUAGCUUCAUUAUCCUCAGUCUUUCUCAAUUCCCCGCCAUUACUCCAAGAAAUCUCAGUUCGAUGAGUUUCAGUUUCUACAUCUUGUAUUGAUAAUCCCAAUUCACCAAUAUUACUCCACGAAUCUUUAUAUAUAUAUAUGGAUGCUGGUUUUUAAAGUUUGAAUCGACUCUAGCAUUUUACCCGUUUGUUCUAGAACCAAGCUGCUAGAGCUUUUCAUUUUCUGAAUCCCUUCCAGCAACUCGUCUUGAUUUUUCUUCAAACAUUCAAAUAUAUCCAGAAGAAUCACUUGUUGCGAAGGUUGUAUUUCCAUGAUCUAAUGGCAGAAGGGCUAUGGUAUGGGGUACGAUAGAGAUAAAAGGGAAAAUUUUAUUUCCAAGAAAAUUAGGUAAAAGAGUUGAAAAAGGAAAGGAUCAAAACCUCAGAAUCAGAUCUGAAAUAGACCUAAAACAAACCUGAAACAGAGUAAAGAUUCAAGAAAAAAGACCCUAAUUUCAGGGUUCUUGGGAAAGAAAAAAAACUAGAAAAGGAAGAAAGAAACAGAGAGAGAAAGAAAUCUAUAUUUCAAGGAAUAAAGAAAGAAAGAAAGAAAAAGAACAAGGGAAUUGCCAGAGUAAAACAGACUAUUACAUUUUCUCUCCACCAACAAUUAAAAAAUAAUUUCAAAUCCCAUUCAAAACAGGAGCAGCUCAUGCCAACCCACCGAACCAAACCCCCCUUUCUGAGUCUGAGAGCUUAUCAUUUUAACCCUUCUUCAGCAAUUCGUCCCACGCCACCACCCACUCUUUGCUACACCUCUCUCUUGAUCUCUGCGAAGGGAGAUGAACCCACACUGCCGAUCAUCGCAUAAAUCUGAUCGAACUCCCAAACCCUAAUCCAAAACCACAACAAAUUCUAUUCUCUGCUUCUCUUAUCCUUCUUGUGUUACGCGAUCGCUUCCUUUCUUUCCUCGUGCUACUCGCUCAGCGCACUAUAUGCUUCCUAGCAAGAGAGCUGGUGGAGGAGAGGUUGUAAUAGAAGAAGACGGACCAAUCUGCAGCGCCACUGAAUCUCUAACUAAGAAACCCCGCUUAGAUUCCGUCGCCUCGUCCGCGGCCACUGCUGCAUCAUCCGCAAACACGGGGAACGCUAAAAGUACCGGCAACCCCACCGCCACCAUAAUCACCAACAAUCACGGUAGCGGAAACGUUGAAUCUCCGAUCAUGACUCUCGGGAACGGGAAAUCGCAAGACAUUGAUGAGGAUCUUCACAGCCGUCAGCUUGCAGUGUACGGCCGUGAGACCAUGCGGCGGCUCUUUGCAUCCAACAUCCUUGUAUCGGGGAUGCAAGGCCUUGGCGCCGAAAUUGCGAAGAACCUAAUUCUUGCUGGGGUCAAGUCAGUGACCUUGCACGAUGAGGGAGUUGUAGAGUUGUGGGACUUGUCCAGCAAUUUUGUUUUUACGGAGGAUGAUGUGGGGAAGAAUCGAGCCCUUGCUUCUGUCCAAAAGUUGCAAGAAUUGAAUAACUCUGUAGUGAUUUCCACUUUAACUACUGAAUUGACCAAGGAACAACUAUCUGAAUUUCAGGCUGUCGUAUUUACUGACAUUAGCUUAGAGAAAGCAAUUGAAUUUGAUGAUUACUGCCACAAUCAUCAACCUCCUAUUGCUUUUAUUAAAUCUGAAGUACGGGGCCUUUUUGGUAGUGUGUUUUGCGACUUUGGACCUGAGUUUACAGUGCUUGAUGUUGAUGGUGAGGACCCACAUACAGGCAUAAUCGCCUCUAUCAGCAAUGAUAAAUCUGCUCUUGUGGCUUGUGUGGAUGAUGAGAGGCUUGAGUUUGAGGAUGGGGAUCUUGUUGUAUUCUCUGAAGUUCAUGGAAUGACAGAGCUAAAUGAUGGAAAGCCAAGGAAGAUUAAAAAUGCUAGGCCAUAUUCCUUUACUCUUGACGAGGAUACCUUAAAAUUUGGUACCUAUGAGAAAGGUGGCAUUGUAACACAGGUAAAACAACCCAAGAUGUUGAACUUUAAGCCACUGAAGGAAGCACUUAAAGAUCCUGGUGAUUUUCUUUUGAGCGAUUAUUCCAAGUUUGAUCGCCCAACUCUCCUACAUCUAGCAUUUCAGGCACUGGAUAAGUUUUUGUCAGAAUUAGGUCGGUUCCCUGUUGCUGGUUCAGAAGAGGAUGCUCAGAAGCUUAUAACUUUGACUGCUAACAUCAAUGAACGCUUGAAAGAUGGAAGAGUGGAGGACAUUGAUCCAAAACUUCUUAGACAUUUUGCCUUUGGUGCCAGGGCUGUGCUGAAUCCCAUGGCUGCUAUGUUUGGUGGCAUUGUGGGACAAGAGGUUGUCAAAGCAUGUUCUGGAAAAUUUCAUCCUCUCUUUCAGUUUUUCUAUUUUGACUCGUUGGAGUCACUUCCUACGGAGAAUUUGGAUCCCAGUGCUUUUCAACCAUUAAAUAGCCGUUUUGAUGCACAAAUUUCAGUUUUUGGAUCUAAGCUCCAGAAGAAAUUAGAGGAUGCCAAUGUGUUCAUUGUAGGAUCUGGUGCAUUAGGCUGUGAAUUCUUGAAAAAUGUAGCAUUAAUGGGUGUUUCAUGUGGGAAAGAAGGAAGGUUGACAAUAACUGAUGAUGAUGUGAUAGAGAAAAGUAACUUAAGUAGGCAGUUUCUCUUCCGUGAUUGGAACAUUGGGCAGGCCAAAUCCACAGUUGCUGCUGCUGCUGCUGCAUCAAUAAAUCCUAGUCUCAACAUUGAAGCAUUGCAAAAUCGUGUGGGCCCUGAAACUGAGAAUGUAUUUGAUGAUACAUUUUGGGAGAAUUUAACUGUUGUCAUAAAUGCUUUAGACAAUGUAAAUGCAAGAUUAUAUGUUGAUCAAAGAUGCUUGUACUUCCAGAAGCCACUCCUUGAGUCUGGAACCCUGGGUGCCAAAUGCAACACCCAGAUGGUCAUUCCUCACCUGACUGAAAACUAUGGUGCCUCUAGAGAUCCACCUGAGAAGCAAGCACCCAUGUGCACAGUCCAUUCAUUCCCCCACAAUAUUGACCACUGCUUGACAUGGGCUCGGUCAGAGUUUGAAGGUUUGCUUGAGAAAACUCCAGCAGAAGUGAAUGCCUAUCUAUCCAACCCGGUUGAAUAUGCUACUGCUAUGGCUAAUGCCGGUGAUGCUCUGGCCAGGGAUACCUUGGAACGUGUUCUUGAGUGUCUUGACAAGGAAAAGUGUGAGACAUUCCAAGAUUGCAUUACAUGGGCUCGAUUAAAGUUUGAAGAUUAUUUUGCUAAUCGUGUGAAGCAGUUGAUUUAUACAUUUCCCGAAGAUGCUGCAACUAGUACUGGGACACCAUUCUGGUCUGCUCCAAAGCGGUUUCCUCAUCCACUUGAGUUCUCAGCUUCUGAUCCUGGUCACCUCCAUUUUGUCAUGUCAGCAUCCAUACUUCGAGCAGUGUCUUUUGGCAUUCCAGUUCCUGACUGGGUCAAGAAUCCUAAGAUGUUGGCUGAGGCUGUUGAGAAGGUCAUAGUACCAGAAUUUCAACCAAAGAAAGAUGUGAAAAUUGUGACGGAUGAAAAGGCUACUAGUCUUGCUACUGCAUCUGCAGAUGAUAUUGUUAUUAUCAAUGAACUAAUCAAGAGAUUAGAGCAGUGCAGGAAGAAUUUGCCACCAGGAUACAGGAUGAAGCCAAUUCAGUUUGAGAAGGUUCUCUCUUGACAUCUUCCUUUUAAACAUGUUUAAUUUGCAUUUCUUUGACUGUAUAUUGAAGUGUUGAUUGAUCUGUCUUCUGACUUGAUAUGCUCUUAGCUUGUGAUCAUGGAAUUAGACCGGGCCACUGGGCCAGUUCCAGUUCAAAUCGGCCCAGAACUGUGAACCUCCUAAGGUUCUGGUUCAAUCUGGUCCAAGUCCAACAGUUCAGAUUUUUUUUUUUUUAAAUGAAAAAAGGCAGUUCGGCCUGGAGCUGAUUGGUUCGGUUCUGGUUCAAGCCAUAAACAGGUUUGACCCAUUCUGGUUCUGAAUCGGGCCUUGGCUGGAUCUACAUUGAAUGUCUGUAUGAAUUGGUCAGAGCUGCAUUUGUUAUUGAAUUACUCGGUAAUGCCCCGAAAAUACUCUUUAUGUGGGCAAAGAUACCGGGCCUUGGCACUGUUUCACAAUUGUCUUUCAACCUUGUCUCAUAAUAAUUCAAUUGGCUGGUUUGGAACGGCAACUGAAAUACUAUGAAAUCUACAGGAUGAUGAUACAAACUUCCAUAUGGAUGUGAUAGCUGCGCUUGCCAACAUGAGAGCAAGAAACUACAGCAUUCCUGAGGUUGAUAAGCUGAAAGCCAAGUUUAUUGCAGGAAGGAUCAUUCCUGCUAUUGCAACCUCGACAGCAAUGGCAACUGGUCUCGUGUGCUUGGAGUUGUACAAGGUUCUUGAUGGGGGGCACAAACUAGAAGACUACCGUAAUACAUUUGCCAACCUAGCACUACCUUUGUUCUCCAUGGCAGAGCCAGUCCCGCCCAAGGUUAUCAAGCAUCGUGACAUGAAGUGGACCGUUUGGGACAGGUGGAUCAUUAAGGAUAAUCCUACUUUGAGGGAACUUCUUCAAUGGCUCAAGGAUAAGGGGCUGAAUGCUUAUAGCAUUUCAUGUGGCAGUUGCCUGCUCUACAAUAGCAUGUUCCCUAAGCAUAGAGAAAGAAUGGACAGGAAGGUGGUGGAUUUGGUUAGGGAAGUGGCAAAAUUAGAAUUGCCUCCAUUCCGUUCUCAUUUUGAUGUUGUUGUGGCAUGCGAAGACGAUGAGGACAAUGAUAUUGAUAUUCCUCCGGUAUCGAUUUACUACCGUUAAGUUGUAUUUCCAAUUUGCCUGAUCACUUGGGCCUGUGAUUUUAGGAUGACAAUAUUUUUGGUCUUUCAUCUCAAUGUUGUAUCUGGGAGUACCCAGAGAUUAAGAUCUGCCAGUAUCAAAUUUCACAUGUGAACACAGAUUAAGAUUUGCCAGUAUCAAAUUCAUAUGUGAAUCAUAUGGAGACUUAAUAGCAAAUAUCAUGUAUACCUGUUUUGUUAUUUUGAUGAUGAUCCACGGGUUGACUAUUUUCUUCCAAAUUCUGUU